rnacentral:misc_RNA from 1 species
AAAUCUAGACAUACGAGCUAAUUUUUCUGAUUCUCAGUCAUUUGGAAAUUCAUCUAUGUCUGAUGAUGGGAGAGGUUCAUUUAAGCAAGGGCAAUCUAGUUUUUCCUACUCUGAUUCUGUUAGCAAUUUUGCUGAGAAUAUACCAUCUGACAGCGAAGGGGCAGUGAAAAUAUCCCCUUCAUCUGAAAAUCAUGCAGCAGAGAUUGUGGAUUCACCAUUUGACCCUCCAUCUGUUGAUGUGGAGACUCUAGGAACUCAAUCCAGUGAGC